GUAUACUUGCUUUGACAACACAUAUACUAAAAUUGGAAUGAUACAGAGAAGAUCAGCAUGGCCCCUGCACAAAGAUGACAUGAAAAUUUGUGAAGCAUUCUAUGGUUUU
rfam:Mesocricetus auratus contig153200, whole genome shotgun sequence.